GACGUAGGGCGCGAGCGUUGUCCGGAUUUAUUGGGCGUAAAGAGCUCGUAGGCGGUUUGUCGCGUCUGCUGUGAAAGCCCGGGGCUUAACCCCGGGUGUGCAGUGGGUACGGGCAGACUAGAGUGCAGUAGGGGAGACUGGAAUUCCUGGUGUAGCGGUGAAAUGCGCAGAUAUCAGGAGGAACACCGGUGGCGAAGGCGGGUCUCUGGGCAAUAACUGACGCUGAGGAGCGAAAGCGUGGGGAGCAAACAGG
rnacentral:rRNA from 1 species